rnacentral:rRNA from 1 species
UAUGCCCUUCUCUACGGAAUAGCCUCGGGAAACUGAGAGUAAUACCGUAUACGCCCUGUGGGGGAAAGAUUUAUCGGGGAAGGAUUAGCCCGCGUUGGAUUAGGUAGUUGGUGGGGUAAUGGCCUACCAAGCCGACGAUCCAUAGCUGGUUUGAGAGGAUGAUCAGCCACACUGGGACUGAGACACGGCCCAGACUCCUACGGGAGGCAGCAGUGGGGAAUCUUAGACAAUGGGGGCAACCCUGAUCUAGCCAUGCCGCGUGAGUGAUGAAGGCCUUAGGGUUGUAAAGCUCUUUCAGCUGGGAAGAUAAUGACGGUACCAGCAGAAGAAGCCCCGGCUAACUCCGUGCCAGCAGCCGCGGUAAUACGGAGGGGGCUAGCGUUGUUCGGAAUUACUGGGCGUAAAGCGCACGUAGGCGGACUGGAAAGUUGGGGGUGAAAUCCCGGGGCUCAACCUCGGAACUGCCUUCAAAACUAUCAGUCUGGAGUUCGAGAGAGGUGAGUGGAAUUCCGAGUGUAGAGGUGAAAUUCGUAGAUAUUCGGAGGAACACCAGUGGCGAAGGCGGCUCACUGGCUCGAUACUGACGCUGAGG